rnacentral:rRNA from 1 species
UACAGAGGGGGCAAGCGUUGUUCGGAAUUACUGGGCGUAAAGUGUGCGCAGGCGGCUUCGCAAGUCGAGUGUGAAAUCCCCGAGCUUAACUUGGGAAUUGCGCUCGAAACUACGGAGCUGGAGUGUGGCAGAGGAAGGUGGAAUUCCACGUGUAGCGGUGAAAUGCGUAGAGAUGUGGAGGAACACCGAUGGCGAAGGCAGCCUUCUGGGCCAACACUGACGCUCAUGCACGAAAGCGUGGGGAGCAAACAGG